rnacentral:rRNA from 1 species
AAGUCGGAAUCCGCUAAGGAGUGUGUAACAACUCACCUGCCGAAUGAAUUAGCCCUGAAAAUGGAUGGCGCUGAAGCGGGCGGCCGACACCGCGCCGUGUGACUAAGAAUUGUGAACAAAAAAAAGUCGCAUGAGUAGGAGGGCGUGGCGGGCGUGGAGAAGCGUGGGCGCGAGCCUGCGUGGAACGGUCCGCUAGUGCAGAUCUUGGUGGUAGUAGCAAGUAUUCAAGUGAGAACCUUGAAGGGCGAAGCGGGGAAGGGUUCCACGCAAACAUUGAUUGGGCGUGGGUGAGUCGUUCCUAAGCCGAGUGGCAAUUGCACGAAAGUAAUGGCGAAAGGGAAGCGGGUUGAAAUUCCCGCACACGGAUGUGGAGCGCGGUGACGCGAACUGAGGGCGAAGACGCUGGCGAUGGCGCUGGGCAGAGUUGUCUUUUCUGUUUGACCGCUGUGUGGCGUGCAGUGUGGAAUCCGCUUGUCGGGAGAAACACGCACGCUCGGGCAGAGCGCCGGGGAUUAUCCGGCGUCCAGCUCGCCAUCGACAGACCUUGAAAAUUUGCCUGCUGGUCUAAAAUCCACGCCGUGGCGUACCGAUCACCGCAUCAGGUCCCCAAGGUGAACAGCCUCUGCUCGAUAUGAAAAAUGCAGGUAAGGGAAGUCGGCAAAUUAGACCCGUAACUUUGGGAAAAGGGUUGGCUCUAGUGCUGCGUGGGAGUGGUUGUCUGUGUUCUGUGUGGGUGGAGGGAGGGGUCGGCUUGGCGCGGGGGAAAUGGGUUGUUCGAAGAGAUUCGUUUCUUUUUGGGUAGCCUCUCCUGUUCUCGGCUACUCACCAGCCGCUCUCGCCACGGACGACGCCCACAGCAUGCAGCAGACUAGAACUGCAACGGGCAAAGGGAAUCCGACUGUUUAAUUAAAACAAAGCAUUGAGAAGGCCGUGGAUGGUGAUGACUCAAU